GACGCUGGCGGCGUGCCUAACACAUGCAAGUCGAGCGGGGAUAGUCCGUAAGGAUGUGUACCAGCGGCGGACGGGUGAGUAACGCGUGAGAACAUGCCUUUUAGUGAAGAAUACCUCAGGGAAGCCUGAGUUAAUACUGCAUAAUCCCUUAUGGGGGAAAGGUGGCUUUAUGCUGCCGCUAAAAGAUUGGCUUGCGUACUAUUAGCUAGUUGGUGAGGUAAUGGCUCACCAAGGCUUUGAUGGUUAACCGGCCUGAGAGGGUGUACGGUCACAUUGGAACUGAGAUACGGUCCAGACUCCUACGGGAGGCAGCAGUGGGGAAUAUUGCGCAAUGGGCGAAAGCCUGACGCAGCAACGCCGCGUGGAGGAUGAAGGUCUUCGGAUUGUAAACUUCUGUCUAGUGAGAAGAAAGACUUGCUAAUAAAACGGGCAAGGGAUGACGGUAUCACUAAAGAAAGCACUGGCUAAUCUCGUGCCAGCAGCCGCGGUAAU
rnacentral:rRNA from 1 species